rnacentral:pre_miRNA from 13 species
CUGUGUGCGAUAGUUUGGCAGUGUUUGUUAGCUGGUUGAAUAUUUAAAUGGCACCAGCUGACAGACAGCUGCUUUCCUAUUGCAUGUACC